UCGUCGGACUCCUCUUUUUCUUCCUUCUUUUCUUCCUUCUUCUCCUCAGCAGGGGCUGCAGCAGCAGCUCCACCAGUAGGUGCAGCAACUGCAACAGCACCACCACCAGCAGGUACUGAAGCCAACUUUUCUCUGCCGGCAGCAAUCAGCUCAGUGAUGUCUUUUCCCUCCACUUGAGACAAAAGCAGUUUGAUUCUGUCAUCAUCAGCCUCAGCACCAACUGCAGAGCAUGUGGAACCUCAAACAUGAGUGUGAAACAAACAACAAGCCACAAGCCGCAUGUGUAU
rnacentral:lncRNA from 1 species